AGUGAAGAUGAUGUAGUAGACGCAUUAUUCAGAGCUAUACUGACUUACAGAGCGUGAAAACCAAUAACCCAGAUUAUAAAAAAUAAAUAAAUACAUAAAACCAGUAAAAGAGCAGUUUUGUCGCAGAAAUAUUUACUUUCUGAUUAGUAUGAGGCAUGAAGGCGUGAUCAGCUGAUGCUGAACCCCAUCAGCAUCUCUUUAAUUACGACCUUCAGCUCUUCUGAAUCUUUGGAUCUUGGUGUCUCUGCUUUUGCCAAAGAUUAUCUGAGGUAUUUGGUCAGGCCCAGUGGCGUUUCUAGCCGUUUCAGGGGUCCUUUAGCAGCCCUAAAUAUAGACAUAACGUCUAUGCCCCUAAACAUUAUGUAUAUGCCCCGAAAACUGUCUCACCACCCCUGAAUCGAGUUGCCACCCAUCCCGUAAAAUACGGAGUCGUCCCAUAUUUAGCCGUUAAAUGUAUUGAACCGAUCCAUAAUUGUCCGAUAGACUCGCCUAUCAUACACAUAUCAACACUAAGUUUAACAAUAAUGACCAAAAUAAAACACAGGAAAUAUUAAGGUCAGCUAAAUUCUAGUGGCGGGAGCUAAAGGACCCCCUGAACGCACCGCACCAACGCUGAACGUCACGGUUGCCUAGAGACGGACACUAGACGCUAUCCACCCGCGCGGUGAGCGGCUAUCCACUCACGUAUUUUGAAAACGUCGUCUACCCGAUUCCAUGUCCUUAGAAGCAAAAACGCUUUCAAAAAUACAGACGUGAGUGAAAAGACGCGCAUUAUAAGCUGAACAGUUUUAGUUAGGAAGGAUACGGUGUAAACAGAUCGACAAAAAAAUGUGUCCGUCGUGACGCAGUGUGCUGCUGUAUGAUAGAAUUAAUCAGGAGAGGAACUGCAGUCCCGUUAGAACCAGAUAUCAGCGACUCUUCAUCCUCAAUCAUCUCCUGAGGCUGAUAUGGACAAUAAAGGUUGUUUCCAUUCUGUCAUCCAGUACAACCGAUGGUUACCAUGGAAACUAAACAGACCGACCCAUGGAGACACAUUGCUGAUCAUGUUGACGUCUUCGGCAUGUUCACCUGCUGUUUGGCUGAUAAGAUCCAACAUCUCAAGACAGAUAUUACAUCUUCAGUAUUCUCCAGACAAGAGGACGUUAUAUAUUUUUAGUCUAUCUGAAAUUGUUAUUAAUAUAUAUAAAAUAUAAAUACUUUUACAUAAGGUAAAGAAGCCUGCAAGCUGGAGAAAUUAUGCUGGUAGAUAUUUAAAAGUGUUGGUGGAGCAUAUAUUAUGGAGCAUAAUAUGGUUUUACUUCACCCAAAAUUAAAAAAAGAAAGGAACAAUGAGCUUGCUUGAGAUGAACAAAAUUAUUCAUAUUAAACAUCAGUUUUAAAGAGCCAUUCACAUUUUUAUUCAGUGAACAUUACAGAAACGUAUUUCGACAAAACCCAGCUUUUAUACGCCUUAGCACAUAUACAGCAUGUCAUUGUGAUCAAGAUUAUGUGUUGCCAGAAUAAAGCAGAGCAUCCGUC